rnacentral:rRNA from 1 species
AAAAUGGAACGUACGGAAAGCAUUGAGAAUAGAUUCUCAAUAUAUUUUCAAGCUUGGGAUUCCAUACUCAAAGCGCUAAAGCCGCAAAAGGAACCAAAAGGCGGCUAUGUACGCAGUUCAGAAUACGAUCAUUGGUAAAGUUUUUAUUGAAGAAUCCUCAGAGACUAUACGUUGAACACAAGUUAAAUAAAUGGGCGAACGAGUUAAAACUUUAGUAGCCCAAGUAUUUUUCUUAUGAUGAUAUAGUCCGAACUCGCCAGCGAUGGCGAGAGACCGGCAGAAAUGUCCGGUCCAACUCAAGAACCCGCCAAAAGCUAACGCAUUUAGGCGGGCAAGUCGGUGCUAAUUUUUGGAAAAAAAAGAGGUUAUUUGUUUGACCUCUGAUUGAGAUAUGUCUUUAGCCAGAAUUUCCAGUUGAUCAUGACAUAGAAAACCAAUACGACAAGGAUGGCCUUACCUACUAUAAUGGGAAAUUCAUACAUAUAUUGUCCUCCUUCUGAUUAAAGUCUAGCAUAGAGACAUAUUUUUAUCAAGCUCUAAUCUUGACCCCGCAAAAAAGAGCGGGGCAGGCUCCAAAAAUUAGCACCGAUUAUCAAAUCUUGAGCACUUGGGUGUCCGACACCCAAGUUAGUAACAAAAUGUAGAUACCCUUGUAGUCCACGCCCUAAACGAUGAUGACUAGCCAUUGGAAGUAUCGACCCUUCGAGUGGCGAAGCUAACGCGUUAAGUCAUCCGCCUGGGAAGUACGAACGCAAGUUUAAAACUCAAAGGAAUAGACGGGGACUCGCACAAGCGGUGGAGCAUGUGGUUCAAUUCGAUGGUAAACGAAAAACCUCACCAGGGCUUGAAAUUCCGACGAUAAGUCCCGUGAAAGCGGGAUGUCUCACAAGGACGUCGGAACAGGUGCUGCAUGGCUGUCGUCAGUUCGUGGCUUGAGCUGUUCCCUUAAGUGGGGUAACGAACGCAACCCCUGCCCCGUGUUAUACGUGUCACGGGGGACUACUCUGAUUUUCGGAGGGGAAGGUGGGGAUGACGCCAAGUCAGCAUGGCCCUCUGAUGCCCUGGGCUACACACGUGCUACAAUGGGACGUACAAUGGGCCGCAAUACCGAGAGGUGGAGCUAAUCCCUUAAAACGUCCCCCAGUUCAGAUUGAGGUCUGCAACUCGACCUCAUGAAGACGGAAUCGCUAGUAAUCGCAGGUCAGCUAUACUGCGGUGAAUACGUUCUCGAGUCUUGUACUCACAAAUAAAUGCGCCCGGCAGCGCAUAGUUCUAAGUGGUUAAAAUCCACUCUUUAUCAUUCGUCGUGAUAAAUGUAGCAGAAAGAUAGGUC